rnacentral:rRNA from 1 species
AGGACGAACGCUGGCGGCGUGCCUAACACAUGCAAGUCGAACGGGGGUAGCAAUACCUCAGUGGCGAACGGGUGCGUAACACGUGAAGAAUUUGUCCAACGGCGGGGGAUAGCCGGCCCAACGGCCGGGUAAUACCGCGUACGAUCACCGAGGGGCAUCCCUUGAUGAUGAAAGCCGCAAGGCGCCGAUGGAGAACUUCGCGGCCUAUCAGCUAGUUGGUGCGGUAACGGCGCACCAAGGCGACGACGGGUAGC